GUAAAUAUAGUUUAAAUAAAAUAUUAGAUUGUGAAUCUAACAACAGAAGAAUAGAAGCUUCUUAUUUACC
rnacentral:tRNA from 1 species